rnacentral:rRNA from 2 species
GGACUACUAGGGUUUCUAAUCCUGUUUGCUCCCCACGCUUUCGUACCUCAGUGUCAGUGUUGGUCCAGGUAGCCGCCUUCGCCACUGGUGUUCUUCCCGAUAUCUACGCAUUUCACCGCUACACCGGGAGUUCCACUACCCUCUACCACACUCUAGCUCGCUAGUUUCAGAUGCAAUUCUCAGGUUGAGCCCAAGGAUUUCACACCCGACUUAACAAACCACCUACGUACGCUUUACGCCCAGUAAUUCCGAUUAACGCUUGCACCCUCUGUAUUACCGCGGCUGCUGGCAC